rnacentral:rRNA from 1 species
UACGAAGGGGGCUAGCGUUGCUCGGAAUGACUGGGCGUAAAGGGCGCGUAGGCGGCGGUCACAGUCAGAUGUGAAAUUCCUGGGCUUAACCUGGGGGCUGCAUUUGAUACGUGGUUGCUUGAGUGGGGAAGAGGGUCGUGGAAUUCCCAGUGGUAGAGGUGAAAUUCGUAGAUAUUGGGAAGAACACCGGUGGCGAAGGCGGCGACCUGGUCCUUGACUGACGCUGAGGCGCGACAGCGUGGGGAGCAAACAGG